CUCUUUUUUAUUUUUCAUAGCUAUUACUACACCCCAUAAUUCUCUUUUGAUUUGAGUAUAUGCCCUUUAUCUGGAAUUCAAUACCUUUGCUCCAAAUCUUACUAUAUAUCUGUUUCCUUGUUCAUCAUCUUGUCCAACCGCCCAACCUAUUCCAAUUGGACUUGCAUUAACUGUUAAUACCACUGACCUUCCACCUUCAUAAUUUACUUUCUUCAAAGUUGGAGAUGAAAAAAGAAGUUCUUUCAAUUUUUUCAUAACUUUCCAUUGUUCUUCUUUCCAUUGAAAGUUUUGAUUCUUUCUUAACAACUCAUACAAUGGAUCUACUAUAUGUGCAAAAUGA
rnacentral:lncRNA from 1 species